rnacentral:rRNA from 1 species
AUUGAACGCUGGCGGCAUGCCUUACACAUGCAAGUCGAACGGUAACAGGUCUUCGGAUGCUGACGAGUGGCGAACGGGUGAGUAAUACAUCGGAACGUGCCCGAUCGUGGGGGAUAACGGAGCGAAAGCUUUGCUAAUACCGCAUACGAUCUACGGAUGAAAGCAGGGGACCGCAAGGCCUUGCGCGGACGGAGCGGCCGAUGGCAGAUUAGGUAGUUGGUGGGAUAAAAGCUUACCAAGCCGACGAUCUGUAGCUGGUCUGAGAGGACGACCAGCCACACUGGGACUGAGACACGGCCCAGACUCCUACGGGAGGCAGCAGUGGGGAAUUUUGGACAAUGGGCGCAAGCCUGAUCCAGCCAUGCCGCGUGCAGGAUGAAGGCCUUCGGGUUGUAAACUGCUUUUGUACGGAACGAAACGGCUCCUUCUAAUAAAGGGGGCUAAUGACGGUACCGUAAGAAUAAGCACCGGCUAACUACGUGCCAGCAGCCGCCGUAACAC